rnacentral:ncRNA from 2 species
CUCCUACGGGAGGCAGCAGUGGGGAAUAUUGCACAAUGGGCGAAAGCCUGAUGCAGCGACGCCGCGUGGGGGAUGAAGGCCUUCGGGUUGUAAACCCCUUUCAGCAGGGAAGAAGCGAAAGUGACGGUACCUGCAGAAGAAGCGCCGGCUAACUACGUGCCAGCAGCCGCGGUAAUACGUAGGGCGCAAGCGUUGUCCGGAAUUAUUGGGCGUAAAGAGCUCGUAGGCGGUUUGUCGCGUCUGCUGUGAAAACCCGAGGCUCAACCUCGGGCCUGCAGUGGGUACGGGCAGACUAGAGUGCGGUAGGGGAGACUGGAAUUCCUGGUGUAGCGGUGGAAUGCGCAGAUAUCAGGAGGAACACCGAUGGCGAAGGCAGGUCUCUGGGCCGCAACUGACGCUGAGGAGCGAAAGCAUGGGGAGCGAACAGGAUUAGAUACCCUGGUAGUCCAUGCCGUAAACGUUGGGCACUAGGUGUGGGGCUCAUUCCACGAGUUCCGUGCCGCAGCAAACGCAUUAAGUGCCCCGCCUGGGGAGUACGGCCGCAAGGCUA